rnacentral:rRNA from 1 species
GGUAGCGGAGCGUUCCGUAAGCCGAUGAAGCGAUCUGGUAAUGGGUCGUGGAGGUAUCGGAAGUGCGAAUGCAGACAUGAGUAGCGAUAAACAGUGUGAGAUGCACUGUCGCCGAAAGACCAAGGGUUCCUGCUUAAAGCUAAUCUGAGCAGGGUGAGCCGGCCCCUAAGACGAGCCCGAAGGGGGUAGUCGAUGGGAACCAUGUUAAUAUUCAUGGGCCUGGUGGUGUG